rnacentral:rRNA from 1 species
AUUGAACGCUGGCGGCAGGCCUAACACAUGCAAGUCGAGCGGAGCGGCGGACGGGUGAGUAAUGCCUAGGAAUCUGCCUGGUAGUGGGGGAUAACGUCCGGAAACGGGCGCUAAUACCGCAUACUAUCAGAUGAGCCUAGGUCGGAUUACCUAGUUGGUGGGGUAAAGGCCUACCAAGGAGACGAUCCCUAGCUGGUCUGAGAGGAUGACCAGCCACACUGGCACUGAGACACGUUCCAGACUCCUACGGGAGGCAGCAUUGGGGAAUAUUGCACAAUUGGCUCAAGCCUGAUGCAGCCAUGCCGCGUGUGUGAAGAAGUUCUUCGGAUUGUAAAGCACUUUAAGUUGGGAGGCGUUACCAACAGAAUAAGCACCGGCUAACUUCGUGCCAGCAGCCGCGGUAAUUC